rnacentral:rRNA from 1 species
AACGAACGCUGGCGGCAGGCUUAACACAUGCAAGUCGAACGGGCCCUUCGGGGUCAGUGGCAGACGGGUGAGUAACGCGUGGGAACGUGCCCUUCAGUUCGGAAUAACCCAGGGAAACUUGGGCUAAUACCGGAUACGCCCGAAAGGGGAAAGAUUGAUCGCUGAAGGAUCGGCCCGCGUCUGAUUAGCUAGUUGGUGAGGUAAUGGCUCACCAAGGCGACGAUCAGUAGCUGGUCUGAGAGGAUGAUCAGCCACAUUGGGACUGAGACACGGCCCAAACUCCUACGGGAGGCAGCAGUGGGGAAUAUUGGACAAUGGGCGCAAGCCUGAUCCAGCCAUGCCGCGUGAGUGAUGACGGCCUUAGGGUUGUAAAGCUCUUUCGGCGGGGACGAUAAUGACGGUACCCGCAGAAGAAGCCCCGGCUAACUUCGUGCCAGCCGCCGCAGUAAGAC